GACAACUCGCGGGGAUUGUUUUCCACACCGUGGAAGCUUUGUUCUUUUCGUUUUUUGCAAUAAAUCUUGUUGCUGCUCGCUUUUUGGGUCCACAUUGCUUUUAUGAGCUGUACCACUCACCGUGAAGAUCUGCAGCUUCACUUCAGAGCCUAGCGAGACCACAAGCUCACUGAGAGGAACAAACAACUCCAGACGCGCUGUCUUAAGAGCUAUAACACUCACCGCGAAGGUGUGCAGUUUCACUCCUGAGCUAGUGAGACUACGAAGCCACUGGAACGAAGAAACUCCAACCACGUUUGAACAUCAGAAGGGGCAGACUCCAGACGCUUCAUCUUAAGAGCUGUAACACUCACUGUGAAGGUCUGCAGCUUCACUCCUGAGCCAGCGAGACCACGAACCGAUCUGAACAUCAGAAGGGACAGACUCCAGAUGCCCCACCUUAAGAGCUGUAAUACUCACUGCAAGGGUCUGCAGCUUCAUUCUUGAAGUCAGACCAAGAACCCAGCAAUUCCCAACACACAGGGACCAGCUUCUUUCCUAACUCACUUAGGCUCUUCGUGCUGCUCUGGCAACUAACACCCUUGGCUGCAGGGGCUUGGACACUACCCUUAGUCACUGACAAUUGUGUGAAGGCUGCUGUCGUUAACUUCACUUGAUCACCUUAGGCUCCUGUGAAGUGGUGAGCAAUUCAAACAAAUUCCUGUCGUCAAAUCAUAAUCCUGAUUUUGUUUGGAAGGACAGCGUGCCUGGUUCCAGGACUUGAAUCAUUCGUUUGUCCAGCAUCUCCAUGCUGUGUACGCUACCCGCCUGUUAGUCAUUGACACUGUCUGCUCCUGACAUCCACCCAUCAAUAUUGUCAUUGCUCAAUGAUCCAGGAUCACCGAGAGCAGAUGAGCCUCCUGAUGCAUGGUCAGAAGAUGGAGAAAUUGCACUGCAGAGAAAUCUUUAAAAGCAAUUACCUAAUACUGCAGAUUGCUGAACUGUACCCACACCCAAGACUGAGCAUUGGAUCAAUCCAGAAUAUACAUCAGGUGUUCUGCAAUGUCUGCCUAAAACCAUGACUCUGCCUCCUCCAGCUGUUGCUACAUCUCACUAUGGGUUUCCUGUGACAUUUUGAGCAAGUAUGCCUCUGUGACUGGGGUUCUUACACUCCAGAAUGGAUGAGAAGCACCGUAAGUGGCUUUUAAAAUGAAUAUUCCCUGGCCCUUCAGUCGCUCUAUAGGUCAAGAAUCUGAAUUCUCAACCUGUCUAGAAGGUUCUGGUUUUAAUGGUCUGUGGGCUGCACAUUGAGAAACCUGUUCAGCGAGUGCAACAAAGGUUCCACAUGUGAGAAAGGAAGCAUCAGGUCUCUUGAGCCUGUUCUUUAAUCUGUAGGCUGCACCUUCUCUUUAAAUUCUGCUAAUAACACCAUGCGAGAAAACACCCGAGCUUGAAAAGCCCAUGUUCCAACAUAACUGUCCUUCACCACUCUGGAAAAUUAAUGGUUUGUUUCGAUUAUCCCUUUGUUAAACUCCAAAGUCAAAGAGCUCUGAAAGGCAUACGGUUAUUUUAAGUUUCAGGUGAUUUCUGUUGCCAAAUAUUUUAAAAAUUUAAAAUUGCUACGUGACCUCUUAGUAGUACUAUUAGAUUUCCUGACAAUAAAAAUAAGUCUUUUGGUUUCACCAUUUAUAGUUAGUACAGCUAAUAUUAAGUAUAAUUUUAAAAGCCUUUUAUUUUCUCAGAAAGAAAAAAUAAUCAAAAUCUGCUCAGUGUGGUAUUGAAUAAUUAAAAACAAAAGAACAGUAUCUUCACAUUAGUGUUUAAUAUUAAUUGCUUUUUUACCCUUGACACUGGUGCUAAUUAAAUUUUCAUUUUAUUUUCCAUGAC
ensembl:lncRNA novel transcript